rnacentral:lncRNA from 1 species
AAGCAAUACGUUAAAAUAUCAUGUGUCCGAAACGCUUAUCUGGAUUUAUUAUCAGGACCGCCCAUAAGUCGAAUAUUUGAAGACAUGGAUUUAUAAGGAGUAAUAGACUUUCCCGGCGAAACAAUGUACUUUUAAUGCAAUUGUUAGUAUAUGAAAACCAGCAGAAAUAUUGUUCAGAUGAUACUCUACAAACUGUUUUAUUUGAAAAAGUAAUAUUAGUGUUGUUUUUG